rnacentral:rRNA from 1 species
GUGCCAGCCGCCGCGGUAAUACGAAGGUGGCAAGCGUUGUUCGGAUUCACUGGGCGUACAGGGAGCGUAGGCGGUUGGGUAAGCCCUCCGUGAAAUCUCCGGGCCUAACCCGGAAAGUGCAGAGGGGACUGCUCAGCUAGAGGAUGGGAGAGGAGCGCGGAAUUCCCGGUGUAGCGGUGAAAUGCGUAGAGAUCGGGAGGAAGGCCGGUGGCGAAGGCGGCGCUCUGGAACAUUUCUGACGCUGAGGCUCGAAAGCGUGGGGAGCAAACAGGAUUAGAAACCCGCGUAGUCC